ensembl:lncRNA
GGACACACAGCCAUAGUGUUUACAUGUUGUGUUCACCAUCAUUUCUCUUCCCUUAGUCCAAAAUGGCCACCUAUUUCCUAUCAAGAGCACUGCUCUGUUCAAAAGCAGUGCUCUAUAUAAGGAAUAGGGUGCCAUUUGGGACACACAUUAACAACCUCAACUCAGGCAACAUCAGGGACAUCCUCCAAACAGGGCCCUUCUCCUGACAUGAUCACAAAACUCCAUCUCCCAUCAUUCUUUGCCAACUUUUUUUUUUGUUGUUGUUGUAAACAGUCCAUCAUAAUAAUAACAACAUUAAUCCUAUCUAGAGAAAUCAUUUGAGAAGGAAAAAAAAUAUAAUAUCUGUUUCCAAAUUACACCCUUAUUCCCCCAUUAUUAGGGCACUUAUUUUAAAAAGUACUGCACUAUUUUGAAGAAUAGGGUGUAAUUUGAGGCCUUCCUCAUGUCCGACUAUUGUAAAGGUCAACAUCAAAGGCUGGUGUCGUAAUAAAACACAUUACAAUGUCAAAACGUGUUCAAAUGAACGACAAAAAGGUUUUGUUGAAAGCUCGUCUUCUCUACAUGUCGAAGGUAGUGGGGUCCAUGUUAUGACGUGCUGCCCAAGAACCAAAACACCUCUUCCCUCUACAGUCUACAACCAACAGAUCACUAUUAGGACUCUACUGGCACCCUAUUCCCUAGGUAGUGCACUACUUUCGACCAGGGUGCCAUAGUGACUAGGGUGCCAUUUGGGAUACAUCCUAUGCUUCUGUCCUGGCCAAAGAACAGCAUGACAACCUUUUCAUAUUACCAGACCGAGAGGUUUUCCCUGACCUCAUGACCUGACCAUGUGACCUGACCAGGAAAACCUCACAGAAGGAAAAAGGCUGGAACGUGGUUGAGAAGGGAACGUGGGUGAGAAGGGAACGUGGGUGGGUGAGAAGGGAACGUGGGUGGUUGAGAAGGGAACGUGGGUGAGAAGGGAACGUGGGUGAAAAUGCUACCUGUAUAAAAUUAAGACUCCUCUCCACUUACGCAUCAUCAGGCA